ensembl:snRNA U6 U6 spliceosomal RNA
CUGCUCUCUUCGGUAGCAUAUAUAUUAAAAUUGGAACAACACAGAGAAGAUUAGCAUGGCCCCUGCACAAGGAUGACACACAAAUUCAUGAAGUGUUCCAUAUUUUU